rnacentral:rRNA from 1 species
GACGAACGCUGGCGGCGUGCUUAACACAUGCAAGUCGAACGGAGUUAAGGAGCUUGCUUCUUAACUUAGUGGCGAACGGGUGAGUAACGCGUGAGCAACCUGCCUUUGCAUUCGGGAUAACAGCCGGAAACGACUGCUAAUACCGAAUAACGUAUACGAGUUGCAUGUCUUGUAUACCAAAGAUCCGUCGUGCAAAGAUGGGCUCGCGUCUGAUUAGAUAGUUGGUGAGGUAACGGCUCACCAAGUCAACGAUCAGUAGCCGGUCUGAGAGGAUGAACGGCCACAUUGGGACUGAGAUACGGCCCAGACUCCUACGGGAGGCAGCAGUGGGGAAUAUUGGGCAAUGGGGGAAACCCUGACCCAGCAACGCCGCGUGAAGGAAGAAGGCCUUCGGGUUGUAAAC